rnacentral:rRNA from 1 species
AUACGUAGGGUGCGAGCGUUGUCCGGAAUUACUGGGCGUAAAGAGCUCGUAGGUGGUUUGUCGCGUCGUCUGUGAAAUUCCGGGGCUUAACUCCGGGCGUGCAGGCGAUACGGGCAUAACUUGAGUACUGUAGGGGAGACUGGAAUUCCUGGUGUAGCGGUGAAAUGCGCAGAUAUCAGGAGGAACACCGGUGGCGAAGGCGGGUCGCUGGGCAGUAACUGACGCUGAGGAGCGAAAGCAUGGGUAGCGAACAGGAUUAGAUACCCUGGUAGUCCAUGCCGUAAACGGUGGGCGCUAGGUGUAGGGGUCUUCCACGACUUCUGUGCCGUAGCUAACGCAUUAAGCGCCCCGCCUGGGGAGUACGGCCGCAAGGCUAAAACUCAAAGGAAUUGGCGGGG